UACGUAGGGUGCGAGCGUUAUUCGGAAUUACUGGGCGUAAAGCGUGCGCAGGCGGUCUUGUAAGUCUGAUGUGAAAUCCCCGGGCUCAACCUGGGAAUGGCAUUUGGGACUGCAAGGCUGGAGUGCGGCAGAGGAGACUGGAAUUCCUGGUGUAGCGGUGAAAUGCGUAGAUAUCAGGAGGAACACCGGUGGCGAAGGCGGUUCUCUGGGCCUGUACUGACGCUGAGGAGCGAAAGCGUGGGGAGCGAACAGG
rnacentral:rRNA from 1 species